rnacentral:rRNA from 2 species
GUGACGAAGCGACGCCGCGUGUGGGAAGAAGGCCUUCGGGUUGUAAACCACUGUCGGGAGUUAAGAAAUGCAAGGGUGCUAAUAGUAUCCUUGCUUGACUAAGGCUCCGGAGGAAGCCACGGCUAACUCUGUGCCAGCAGCCGCGGUAAUACAGAGGCGGCAAGCGUUGUUCGGAAUUAUUGGGCGUAAAGAGCACGUAGGCGGCUAUGUAAGUCGGUUGUGAAAGCCUUCCGCUCAACGGAAGAACAGCAUCCGAUACUGCAUGGCUUGAGUGCGGGAGGGGAGAGUGGAACUUCUGGUGGAGCGGUGAAAUGCGUAGAUAUCAGAAGGAACGCCGGCGGCGAAAGCGGCUCUCUGGCCCAUAACUGACGCUGAGUGUGCGAAAGCUAGGGGAGCAAACGGGAUUAGAUACCCCGGUAGUCCUAGCCGUAAACGAU